GAGGAUUUAGCUCAGUGGUGUAAGCUCCUGCCUGGCAAGCAGGAGGUCAUGAGUUUGAUCCUUG
rnacentral:tRNA from 1 species